rnacentral:tRNA from 1 species
GGCCGGUUAGCUCACUGGUUUGAGCGCGGUGCUGAUAAUAAUGACAAAACCGAGGUCGCAGGUUCGAUUCCUGCUCAGUCCC